UACAGAGGGGGCAAGCGUUGUUCGGAAUUACUGGGCGUAAAGGGCGCGUAGGCGGCCUGUUAAGUCGAACGUGAAAUCCCCGGGCUCAACCCGGGAACUGCGUCCGAUACUGGCAGGCUUGAAUCCGGGAGAGGGAUGCGGAAUUCCAGGUGUAGCGGUGAAAUGCGUAGAUAUCAGAAGGAACAUCAGUGGCGAAGGCGGCUUUCUGGACCAAUACUGACGAUCAGGUGCGAAAGCGUGGGGAGCAAACAGG
rnacentral:rRNA from 1 species